CGUAUAAGCUCUUAAUCUCAGCGUCGUUCUCUCUCCUAAACAGACGCUUCUUUCUUCUCCUCCCUUUCCUUUUCUUCACAAAAUUCCAUUGUUGCUCAGCCAUGGCAAACUCACUAUCACCAUUUUGGAACCGAAAGCUCUACACCUCAUUUAAUUUUCCUGCAACAUCAAUGUUCAAAUUUCAAACGGCUCAACAGAUGUGAAUCAAUUUCAGAAUCCCGCCCAAAACCAAGAACCCUAAUUUUACACUUAUAAAUACCAGAUUUUGUGGCUAUUUUUAACACCUUUUUGGACCGCCCCUUCUAUCUCCCUUAACCCUCACUGUUUGGUUAAUUAAUCGUAGUUUAUCUCCCUCCUUACUGUUUUAAAAUCUAGCUUUUAGUUUUCUCUGCCUUUUGAUCUCUAUUUAGUCUAUAGCCUUGCCAAAGUUUUUAUUUUGUUUGUGUCGGCAUUUGACGAUCUUCCAAAAGAGUUGAGCCAAAGCCAGAGAUAGAUCUUUUUGACGAUGCCCCAUUCACUGCCCACAAAAAGAGAAACUGAUUGUAAGGAGCUUAAGCUGAGUGAAGGACUUUGUCAAGCAAUAUGGGUCCUCCAAUGAUACUACUAGCAGAUACAACUCGUUGAAGAGAAAAUCCAUAGAGUAUCCUCAGAAUUUGAAAGCAAACGAACUUCAAGGAAAUGCGGUAGAAUCAACAUUCAAGUUUGGCAAGCUGGUUAAGACACACCUCCAGGAUAAAGGGAAAAGAGUGAUUACUGAAGAAUUAAAUCCUCCACCAUCAACACCUAAGAUAGGAAAAUCACAAAACUUUACCCCUUUGAGUGAACGACCUUCUAUCAUUUUUGAGAGAUUGAGAUCAUUUGGUAUAAUGCAACCAAAACCUACCAAAAUCUCUCCACCACAUUUCAAUCCAACCAAAUGUUGUGCAUUUCAUUUGGGCAUGCUAGGCCAUACAAUAAAUGAGUGUCAUUGUCUGAAAGAGGAAAUCCAGAAGCUGUUGGAUAAUGGUAGGGUCAUUCAGAGACCGGUGCCUCCCCCUCAAUCUAUGUGGUACCAACUUCCAAAUGUCAUCCCUAUACAGAAUUUCACCCAAGUAGCAUAUCUGCAAUUUGCUAAUUCAUCUCUUCCCUACAACCAAGCAAUAUAAAAGAAUUGAGCAUGUGGAAGAGCCUCUCAGAAGAAGAAUAGUUGGGAAUCGUUAACUAAGAUUUAGUUUUGAAGUAGCAAUAUCAUUAGAAGUUAUGUUAUUUUGUACGCUUAAUUGAUCAUCUUUUGUAUCCAUCUAUGACCAGCUUGAUUCUUGUCGGAUAUCGAGUUCGACACUUUUUAAAAUUUUCGAUCCUUAUUUGUAUGUAAUUGAACUACGUCGAACCUGAUUCUCUGGGUGGGAUACGUAGGCAAUCCACAUCGGGUUCGGUCACAUUUUAGAAAAAUUAUCCUUUAUGUA